GGGUUGUGAGGUUAAGCGACUAAGCGUACACGGUGGAUGCCUAGGCAGUCAGAGGCGAUGAAGGGCGUGCUAAUCUGCGAUAAGCGUCGGUAAGCUGAUAUGAAGCGUUAUACCCGACGAUACCCGAAUGGGGAAACCCAGUGUGUUUCGACACACUAUCAUUAUGUGAAUACAUAGCGUAAUGAGGCGAACCGGGGGAACUGAAACAUCUCAGUACCCCGAGGAAAAGAAAUCAACCGAGAUUCCCCUAGUAGCGGCGAGCGAACGGGGAGGAGCCCAGAACCUGAAUCAGUUUGUGUGUUAGUGGAAGCGUCUGGAAAGUCGCACAGUAAAGGGUGAUAGUCCCGUACACAAAAAUGCACAAAUUGUGAGUUCGAUGAGUAGGGCGGGACACGUGACAUCCUGUCUGAAUAUGGGGGGACCAUCCUCCAAGGCUAAAUACUCCUGACUGACCGAUAGUGAACCAGUACCGUGAGGGAAAGGCGAAAAGAACCCCGGCGAGGGGAGUGAAAUAGAACCUGAAACCGUGUACGUACAAGCAGUGGGAGCCUUGAUUAAUCAGGGUGACUGCGUACCUUUUGUAUAAUGGGUCAGCGACUUAUAUUCUGUAGCAAGGUUAACCGUAUAGGGGAGCCGUAGGGAAACCGAGUCUUAACUGGGCGUUAAGUUGCAGGGUAUAGACCCGAAACCCGGUGAUCUAGCCAUGGGCAGGUUGAAGGUUGGGUAACACUAACUGGAGGACCGAACCGACUAAUGUUGAAAAAUUAGCGGAUGACUUGUGGCUGGGGGUGAAAGGCCAAUCAAACCGGGAGAUAGCUGGUUCUCCCCGAAAGCUAUUUAGGUAGCGCCUCGUGAAUUCAUCUUCGGGGGUAGAGCACUGUUUCGGCUAGGGGGUCAUCCCGACUUACCAACCCGAUGCAAACUACGAAUACCGAAGAAUGUUAUCACGGGAGACACACGGCGGGUGCUAACGUUCGUCGUGAAGAGGGAAACAACCCAGACCGCCAGCUAAGGUCCCAAAGUCAUGGUUAAGUGGGAAACGAUGUGGGAAGGCACAGACAGCCAGGAUGUUGGCUUAGAAGCAGCCAUCAUUUAAAGAAAGCGUAAUAGCUCACUGGUCGAGUCGGCCUGCGCGGAAGAUGUAACGGGGCUAAACCAUGCACCGAAGCUGCGGCAGCGACACUUAGGUGUUGUUGGGUAGGGGAGCGUUCUGUAAGCCGUCGAAGGUGACCUGUGAGGGUUGCUGGAGGUAUCAGAAGUGCGAAUGCUGACAUAAGUAACGAUAAUGCGGGUGAAAAACCCGCACGCCGGAAGACCAAGGGUUCCUGUCCAACGUUAAUCGGGGCAGGGUGAGUCGACCCCUAAGGCGAGGCUGAAAAGCGUAGUCGAUGGGAAACAGGUUAAUAUUCCUGUACUCGGUGUUACUGCGAAGGGGGGACGGAGAAAGCUAGGUUAUCCGGGCGACGGUUGUCCCGGUUUAAGCGUGAAGGUGGAUGACUUUGGUAAAUCCGGGUCGUCAUUAACACUGAGGCGUGAUGACGAGUCACUACGGUGAUGAAGUAACCAAUGCUACGCUUCCAGGAAAAGCCUCUAAGCUCCAGGUAACAUCAAAUCGUACCCCAAACCGACACAGGUGGUCAGGUAGAGAAUACUCAGGCGCUUGAGAGAACUCGGGUGAAGGAACUAGGCAAAAUGGUGCCGUAACUUCGGGAGAAGGCACGCUGAUGGUAGGUGAAGUGACUUGCUCACGGAGCUGAAAUCAGUCGAAGAUACCAGCUGGCUGCAACUGUUUAAUAAAAACACAGCACUGUGCAAACACGAAAGUGGACGUAUACGGUGUGACGCCUGCCCGGUGCCGGAAGGUUAAUUGAUGGGGUCAGCCGCAAGGCGAAGCUCUUGAUCGAAGCCCCGGUAAACGGCGGCCGUAACUAUAACGGUCCUAAGGUAGCGAAAUUCCUUGUCGGGUAAGUUCCGACCUGCACGAAUGGCGUAAUGAUGGCCAGGCUGUCUCCACCCGAGACUCAGUGAAAUUGAACUCGCUGUGAAGAUGCAGUGUACCCGCGGCAAGACGGAAAGACCCCGUGAACCUUUACUAUAGCUUGACACUGAACCUUGAGCCUUGAUGUGUAGGAUAGGUGGGAGGCUUUGAAGCGUGGACGCCAGUCUGCGUGGAGCCAACCUUGAAAUACCACCCUUUAAUGUUUGAUGUUCUAACGUGGGCCCGUGAUCCGGGUUGCGGACAGUGUCUGGUGGGUAGUUUGACUGGGGCGGUCUCCUCCCAAAGCGUAACGGAGGAGCACGAAGGUUAGCUAAUCCUGGUCGGACAUCAGGAGGUUAGUGCAAAGGCAUAAGCUAGCUUGACUGCGAGAGUGACAGCUCGAGCAGGUGCGAAAGCAGGUCUUAGUGAUCCGGUGGUUCUGAAUGGAAGGGCCAUCGCUCAACGGAUAAAAGGUACUCCGGGGAUAACAGGCUGAUACCGCCCAAGAGUUCAUAUCGACGGCGGUGUUUGGCACCUCGAUGUCGGCUCAUCACAUCCUGGGGCUGAAGUAGGUCCCAAGGGUAUGGCUGUUCGCCAUUUAAAGUGGUACGCGAGCUGGGUUUAGAACGUCGUGAGACAGUUCGGUCCCUAUCUGCCGUGGGCGUUGGAAGAUUGAGAGGGGUUGCUCCUAGUACGAGAGGACCGGAGUGAACGCACCACUGGUGUUCGGGUUGUGAUGCCAAUUGCAUUGCCCGGUAGCUAAGUGCGGAAGAGAUAACCGCUGAAAGCAUCUAAGCGGGAAACUUGCCUCGAGAUGAGUCUUCCCUGGGUACUUGAUACCCCUGAAGGGCCGUUGAAGACUACGACGUAGAUAGGCUGGGUGUGUAAGCGUAGCGAUACGUUGAGCUAACCAGUACUAAUGACCCGAGAGGCUUAACCUUACAACACCGAAGGUGUUU
rnacentral:rRNA from 1 species